rnacentral:rRNA from 1 species
UUCAAGAGUACGUGAAACCGCUUAGGGGUUAAGCCCGAUGAACCUGAAUAUCUGAAAUGAGAAAUUCAAUACUAUUACUUUGUGAUUGUAUGCACUUUUCUCAUAGUAAGACAUUGCGAUCCAUUAGUUAGUUUAUCAAACGGCCCGUAUAGUCAGUUUAAUCUAUCUGCAUUAUUUAUAAUGUAUGGUUAAUGCUAUUGCGGUGACCUGAUAAACGUCUGAUGGAGCUUAUUAAAUCAUGCAGCCAUGUCUUAUGUAUCACGGUUCUUAUAUAUUUAUAUAUUUGAAUGCAGUGAUCGCAUGUAUUUGAUUAGCAAUGCGAUAGAUUUGGGAUACCUUCGGGACCCGUCUUGAAACACGGACCAAGAAGUCUAACAUGUGUGCAAGUCAUUGGGUAUUUUGUUGAAACCUAAAGGCGCAAUUAAAAUAACUAUUUUAUGGGAUUACAAGUAAUCAUAUGUGUUACUUCUCCAUCCCGGGGCGUUCUAUAUGAACAUGGUUUAAGCAAUUAGACCCUCUGUUCGAGAGCGUACCUUGAGCAUACAUGCUGUGACCCGAA